ACUUCUACGGGAGGCAGCAGGCGCGCAAAUUACUCAAUCCCAAUACGGGGAAGUAGUGACAAUAAAUAUCAAUACCUAUCCUUAACGGAGGGCAAUUGAAAUGAACACAAAUUAAAACUCUUAAUUAACACAAUUGGAGGGCAAGUCUGGUGCCAGCAGCCGCGGUAACCAUUUCUCAGGCUCCCUCUCCGGAAUCGAACCCUAAUUCCCCGUUACCCGUUACAACCAUGGUAGGCCAAUAC
rnacentral:rRNA from 1 species